GGCCAAGUUUUUAAGGGCGCACGGUGGAUGCCUUGGCACCAGGAACCGAUGAAGGACGUGGGAGGCCGCGAUAGGCCCCGGGGAGCUGUCAACCGAGCUGUGAUCCGGGGGUGUCCGAAUGGGGAAACCCGGCAGUCGUCAUGGGCUGUCACCCGUACCUGAACACAUAGGGUAUGUGGAGGGAACGCGGGGAAGUGAAACAUCUCAGUACCCGCAGGAAGAGAAAACAACCGUGAUUCCGGGAGUAGUGGCGAGCGAAACUGGAUGAGGCUAAACCGUAUGCGUGUGAUACCCGGCAGGGGUUGCGCAUGUGGGGUUGUGGGAGCUUUCUUCAGCAGUCUGCCGGCUGUUGGGAGAGUCAGAAACCGUUGAUGUAGGCGAAGGGCAUGCGAAAGGCCCGGCGUAGAGGGUAAGACCCCCGUAGUCGAAAUGUCAGCGGCUCUCUUGGAAGCCACCCAAGUAGCACGGGGCCCGAGAAAUCCCGUGUGAAUCUGGCGGGACCACCCGUUAAGCCUAAAUAUUCCCUGGUGACCGAUAGCGGAUAGUACCGUGAGGGAAUGGUGAAAAGUACCGCGGGAGCGGAGUGAAAUAGUACCUGAAACCGUGUGCCUACAAGCCGUGGGAGCGUCGCAUGGCAGGCUUGCCUGUCAUGUCGUGACUGCGUGCCUUUUGAAGAAUGAGCCUGCGAGUUUGCGGUGUGUGGCGAGGUUAACCCGUGUGGGGUAGCCGUAGCGAAAGCGAGUCCGAAGAGGGCGAUCUAGUCGCACGCUCAAGACCCGAAGCGGAGUGAUCUAGCCAUGGGCAGGUUGAAGCGGAGGUAAGACUUCGUGGAGGACCGAACCCACCAGGGUUGAAAACCUGGGGGAUGACCUGUGGUUAGGGGUGAAAGGCCAAUCAAACUCCGUGAUAGCUGGUUCUCCCCGAAAUGCAUUUAGGUGCAGCGUCGUGUGUUUCUUGCCGGAGGUAGAGCACUGGAUAGGCGAUGGGCCCUACCGGGUUACUGACCUUAGCCAAACUCCGAAUGCCGGUAAGUGAGAGCGCGGCAGUGAGACUGUGGGGGAUAAGCUCCAUGGUCGAGAGGGAAACAGCCCAGAGCAUCGACUAAGGCCCCUAAGCGUAUGCUAAGUGGGAAAGGAUGUGGAGUCGCAGAGACAACCAGGAGGUUGGCUUAGAAGCAGCCACCCUUGAAAGAGUGCGUAAUAGCUCACUGGUCAAGUGAUUCCGCGCCGACAAUGUAGCGGGGCUCAAGUAUACCGCCGAAGUCGUGUCACUCACACAUGAGACCUAACGGUUGUGUGGGUGGGUAGGGGAGCGUCGUGUGCCGGGUGAAGCAGCGCCGGAAGGUAGUUGUGGACGGUUCACGAGUGAGAAUGCAGGCAUGAGUAGCGAUACAAGAGUGGGAAACUCUUGCGCCGAUUGA
rnacentral:rRNA from 1 species